rnacentral:rRNA from 1 species
AUUGAACGCUGGCGGCAUGCUUCACACAUGCAAGUCGAACGGUAACAGGUCUUCGGAUGCUGACGAGUGGCGAACGGGUGAGUAAUACAUCGGAACGUGCCUAGUAGUGGGGGAUAACUACUCGAAAGAGUGGCUAAUACCGCAUGAGAUCUACGGAUGAAAGCAGGGGAUCGCAAGACCUUGUGCUACUAGAGCGGCCGAUGGCAGAUUAGGUAGUUGGUGGGAUAAAAGCUUACCAAGCCGACGAUCUGUAGCUGGUCUGAGAGGACGAUCAGCCACACUGGGACUGAGACACGGCCCAGACUCCUACGGGAGGCAGCAGUGGGGAAUUUUGGACAAUGGGCGCAAGCCUGAUCCAGCAAUGCCGCGUGCAGGAUGAAGGCCUUCGGGUUGUAAACUGCUUUUGUACGGAACGAAAAGCCCUGGGUUAAUACCCUGGGGUCAUGACGGUACCGUAAGAAUAAGCACCGGCUAACUACGUGCCAGCAGCCGCGGUAACAC